GCUGCAAGCUGGGAUGAGCUCCCAAAUGCAGUUGUUGGUGAUGCAGAGAAUGCAUUGACAAAAAGUACUGAUGACAAAGCUGGUCAGGAAGCCUUGAUUAAUGUUUUCCGUGCAGCAGAGGCAGUGGAGGAGUUCACAGGAAUUCUCACAUCUCUGAAAAUGGAGAUGGAUGACGCGAUUGGUUUAAGUGGUGAGAAUGUGAAGCCUAUGUCAAAAGAAUUCUCUGAAGCAUUCCAAACAAUACUUCAACGUUACAACACUUACUUAAGUGCUUUUGGGUUAGAAGAGGUAUACUUGAAGAAGAAAGUGGAGAUGGAACUAGGGACAAAGAUGAUACACUUGAAAAUGAGAUGCAGUGGCCUUGAUUCCGAAUGGGGAAAGGUUACAGUACUUGGGACUUCAGGACUGGCUGGUUCCUAUGUUGAGCAAAGAGCAUAAGCCUUCAAUGAUGGCUGAAAAGUCAGAAGUGUUUUCGCCUUCAAGUCACUUACGUAACAUUUUCCUGGAAAAAGAAAAGGAAGUUUUAGAUAAUACAGGAUGAUAUUGAUGUGAUCCGUUAAAUUGCACUCUUCUUUCGCAAGUUUUAUAAUGUGAUAGCAGCAAUAUGUAGUUGAUACUAAUCCUAAUAACUUCUUCAAGGAGACAGUUUCCUGAGUAUUCAGAAUGAGAGUGUUUUAUGUCAAUUGAUU
rnacentral:misc_RNA from 1 species